AUUGAACGCUGGCGGCAGGCUUAACACAUGCAAGUCGAGCGGGGGAAGGUAGCUUGCUACCGGACCUAGCGGCGGACGGGUGAGUAAUGCUUAGGAAUCUGCCUAUUAGUGGGGGACAACAUCUCGAAAGGGAUGCUAAUACCGCAUACGUCCUACGGGAGAAAGCAGGGGAUCACUUGUGACCUUGCGCUAAUAGAUGAGCCUAAGUCGGAUUAGCUAGUUGGUGGGGUAAAGGCCUACCAAGGCGACGAUCUGUAGCGGGUCUGAGAGGAUGAUCCGCCACACUGGGACUGAGACACGGCCCAGACUCCUACGGGAGGCAGCAGUGGGGAAUAUUGGACAAUGGGGGGAACCCUGAUCCAGCCAUGCCGCGUGUGUGAAGAAGGCCUUAUGGUUGUAAAGCACUUUAAACGAGGAGGAGGCUCUUUUGGUUAAUACCCAAGAUGAGUGGACGUUACUCGCAGAAUAAGCACCGGCUAACUCUGCGCCAGCAGCCGCAGUAA
rnacentral:rRNA from 1 species